CUUGCUCCAUUUUCCAGAUGCUAUGUUUUCUUCUGUUUUGCUUUUCUUCUUCUUCAAAUCUUUACUGGUUUCUUCUGAAAUGACAUCUGGGUGGAAAAUCUAGCAGUAUUGGCUAGGUCUGAAACACACACAGGCCCGAAUCAUCAAUGACCAUCGUCAACUGCCAUUGUCAACAUUUGUAGCCGCCAUAUCUGCGUACGGCCGCCAUUUCACUUCUCCAUAUCUUCGUCCAUUCAGUACUUGCAGAGCGGUUUUCUAGUGCAACUCUAUGUCUAUGGAAUCUAGUCGGCCUGUAAAUCGGGAUGAUAUUGUGGAAGGCUUUGGCGCGCAUGCACCGUCUAGCGGUAAAGGCUCACACAUCCUUCACAACAACCCACAAGUUCAGAGCCAGAAGAAGACUAAGAAAGCGUAAGAACUCUAUUUUUUAUUUAUUUAUUCUCUUUUUCUGAUUUAGAUCAGGUUGAAGUGUUAGAUUAUGACCGUAAUUUGACAAAUUCAGGUUCUCCCUGUUUGAUGAAAUGCCUUAAAGGCAUCUUGUUGUCAAACUUCAGUUCCCCUAAUUUACACUACCCAACAUUCACAUAUACAUAUAUAGUUAAAUGCUGAAACAAUAUUGACACGAUUUAUCUGAAGCUGAAGCUUAAAGGAAGGCCGCUGAUUAGCUAGAUCAGACACUCCUACUGUUGCAGCCUUCAGAUACAGCUUUUUAUCAUUUGGCGUUUCCUUCUGAAAGCAUGCAUCAUUGCCAUUGGUGUUUGCAAAAUUAAGUACUUCAUUGGUCUUUGGUAUUCAUAUGCUUUCUGCAGUGUUUCUGUUAAUUAGUUGUUUGAUGGUUUCUGUAUCCUCGCGGUAUAUCCAACAAACAACAAUAAGUGCAUGAAUUGUGGAUAUCAUCAACAUAUUAUAUUGCUCUUAUUGUGUCUCGCUUUUGUCUUGAUCAAAAAUUUAAUUAAAGUGUUCAACUAUUUCCUCUGUAUAAGCAGAGUAGAGGAGGUUUUCUCUCAUGCAAAUUGGUUAGUUGCAGCUAAGGGCACAUGAAUUACUUCAGCUUUUAGAUUGAAGGUGAUGAGAGUGCAGUUGACGUUGGGUUUUAGGAUUGUCGGACUAAUUGCUGAAGUAACUCAUCUGCAACUCGUGUGCAUGAAAGAAAAGCUCGUGAAGGUAGAACCCUUGGUUACCACUCUCUUGUCUUCUAAUUUCUACAUUUUCUUCAAUGUCACAGCCUUGGCCCUGCCACUUCACUCCCCAGUCCGUCUUCUGCAAUGACUGGCAGGGGAAAGAAGGCAUCCGCCGUGCCU